rnacentral:rRNA from 1 species
CGGCGGACGGGUGAGUAACGCGUAGGCAACCUGCCUUAUGCAGAGGGAUAGCCAUUGGAAACGAUGAUUAAAACCUCAUAACGCCGGAGAGUCACAUGGUUUUCCGGCCAAAGAUUUAUCGGCAUAAGAUGGGCCUGCGUCUGAUUAGUUAGUUGGUGGGGUAACGGCCUACCAAGGCGACGAUCAGUAGCCGACCUGAGAGGGUGAUCGGCCACAUUGGGACUGAGACACGGCCCAGACUCCUACGGGAGGCAGCAUG